GACGUCGAAUAUCGACGUCAUCAACACCAAAGUUGAUCGUGUUUAUGACGUCGAAUAUCGACGUCAUAAACAUCUAAGUUGAUCGUGUUUAUGGCGUCGAUUAUCGACGUC